UACAGAGGUCUCAAGCGUUUGUUCGGAUUCAUUGGGCGUAAAAGGGUGCGUAGGCGGCGCGGUAAGUCGGGUGUGAAAUCUCGGGGCUUAACUCCGAAAACUGCAUUCGAUACUGCCGUGCUUGAGGACUGGAGAGGAGACUGGAAUUUACGGUGUAGCGGUGAAAUGCGUAGAUAUCGUAAGGAAGACCAGUGGCGAAGGCGGGGUCUCUGGACAGUUCCUGACGUGAGGCACGA
rnacentral:rRNA from 1 species